CAAGAAUUUAAGAUUUAUAUAUAAGAUUUUUAUCUUUAUUAGAA
rnacentral:tRNA from 1 species